UACGGAGGGUGCGAGCGUUACUCCGGAAUCGCUGGGUUUAAAGGGUGCGUAAGCGGUCUGAUAAGUCAGUUGUGAAAUUCCUCGGCUUAACCGAGUGGACUGCGAUUGAUACUGUCAGACUUGAAUCAGGUUGAGGUAGGCGGAAUGUGACAUGUAGCGGUGAAAUGCUUAGAUAUGUCAUAGAACACCGAUUGCGAAGGCAGCUUGCUGGGCUUAGAUUGACGCUGAGGCACGAAAGCGUGGGGAGCAAACAGG
rnacentral:rRNA from 1 species